AUACGGAGGGGGCUAGCGUUGUUCGGAAUUACUGGGCGUAAAGCGUACGUAGGCGGACUGAUCAGUUGGGGGUGAAAUCCCAGGGCUUAACCCUGGAACUGCCUUCAAUACUGUCAGUCUUGAGAUUGGAAGAGGUGAGUGGAAUUCCUAGUGUAGAGGUGAAAUUCAUAGAUAUUAGGAGGAACACCAGUGGCGAAGGCGGCUCACUGGUCCAAUACUGACGCUGAGGUACGAAAGCGUGGGUAGCAAACGGGAGUAGAAACCCUAGUAGUCC
rnacentral:rRNA from 1 species